AGCGUUAAAGCUUACUAUAAUGAUAUUAUAAAUCUCAAAAAUUAAUAUGAACCCUUACCCCAUACUGAAUAAUUCCAUAUUUAUAUGGAAAAUACCCUGCUGAAACUAGUAAUAAGAAUACGAUAUUCUCCAAAAUGUAAGUAUAAACCAAAAUGGACACUCCAUUGGUAAUUAACGAAAAUGAAUUAACUAUAAUAACCCAAACAAGAAAAACCUAUAGAUUUUUUCGUUAGCCUAACACCAGAGCAUUUACGGAAAGAUUAAAAAAGAAAGAAGGAACUCGGCAAAUUUUAACCCCGCCUGUUUACCAAAAACAUCGCCUCUUGAUAAAUUAUAGGAGGUCCAGCCUGCCCAGUGAUAAAUUAAACGGCCGCGGUACCCUGACCGCGCGAAGGUAGCAUAAUCACUUGUUCUUUAAAUAGGGACUAGUAUCAACGGCAUCACGAGGGUUACACUGUCUCCUUUCUUCAAUCAGUGAAACUGAUCUCCCCGUGAAGAAGCGGGGAUAUAGCUAUAAGACGAGAAGACCCCAUGGAGCUUUAAAUUAAACUGCAACUCAGUUAAACAACCCCUAAUAUCUUAUAGAGUUAUGCAUGUCAAUUUUAGGUUGGGGUGACCGCGGAGUAAAAACCAACCUCCACGACGAAAAGAGCUAGAUCUUUAUCUAAGGGUUAUAACCCUAAGAAUUAGCACACUAACGAUAAUGACCCGAUAAUCGAUCAACGGACCAAGUUACCCUGGGGAUAACAGCGCAAUCUACUUUGAGAGCUCAUAUCGACAAGUAGGCUUACGACCUCGAUGUUGGAUCAGGGUAUCCUAGUGGUGCAGCCGCUACUAAUGGUUCGU
rnacentral:rRNA from 1 species